GACGAACGCUGGCGGCGCGCCUAACACAUGCAAGUCGAACGAGAGAUGAGGAGCUUGCUCUUCAAAUCGAGUGGCGAACGGGUGAGUAACGCGUGAGGAACCUGCCUCAAAGAGGGGGACAACAGUUGGAAACGACUGCUAAUACCGCAUAAGCCCACGGCUCGGCAUCGAGCAGAGGGAAAAGGAGCAAUCCGCUUUGAGAUGGCCUCGCGUCCGAUUAGCUAGUUGGUGAGGUAACGGCCCACCAAGGCGACGAUCGGUAGCCGGACUGAGAGGUUGAACGGCCACAUUGGGACUGAGACACGGCCCAGACUCCUACGGGAGGCAGCAGUGGGGAAUAUUGCACAAUGGGGGAAACCCUGAUGCAGCGACGCCGCGUGGAGGAAGAAGGUCUUCGGAUUGUAAACUCCUGUUGUUGAGGAAGAUAAUGACGGUACUCAACAAGGAAGUGACGGCUAACUACGUGCCAGCAGCCGCGGUAAAACGUAGGUCACAAGCGUUGUCCGGAAUUACUGGGUGUAAAGGGAGCGCAGGCGGGAGAACAAGUUGGAAGUGAAAUCCAUGGGCUCAACCCAUGAACUGCUUUCAAAACUGUUUUUCUUGAGUAGUGCAGAGGUAGGCGGAAUUCCCGGUGUAGCGGUGGAAUGCGUAGAUAUCGGGAGGAACACCAGUGGCGAAGGCGGCCUACUGGGCACCAACUGACGCUGAGGCUCGAAAGUGUGGGUAGCAAACAGGAUUAGAUACCCUGGUAGUCCACACCGUAAACGAUGAUUACUAGGUGUUGGAGGAUUGACCCCUUCAGUGCCGCAGUUAACACAAUAAGUAAUCCACCUGGGGAGUACGACCGCAAGGUUGAAACUCAAAGGAAUUGACGGGGGCCCGCACAAGCAGUGGAGUAUGUGGUUUAAUUCGACGCAACGCGAAGAACCUUACCAAGUCUUGACAUCCCUUGACGAUGCUGGAAACAGUAUUUCUCUUCGGAGCAAGGAGACAGGUGGUGCAUGGUUGUCGUCAGCUCGUGUCGUGAGAUGUUGGGUUAAGUCCCGCAACGAGCGCAACCCUUAUGGUCAGUUACUACGCAAGAGGACUCUGGCCAGACUGCCGUUGACAAAACGGAGGAAGGUGGGGAUGACGUCAAAUCAUCAUGCCCUUUAUGACUUGGGCUACACACGUACUACAAUGGCGUUAAACAAAGAGAAGCAAGACCGCGAGGUGGAGCAAAACUCAGAAACAACAUCCCAGUUCGGACUGCAGGCUGCAACUCGCCUGCACGAAGUCGGAAUUGCUAGUAAUCGUGGAUCAGCAUGCCACGGUGAAUACGUUCCCGGGCCUU
rnacentral:rRNA from 1 species